rnacentral:rRNA from 1 species
AACGAACGCUGGCGGCAGGCUUAACACAUGCAAGUCGAACGCCCCUUUCGGGGGGAGUGGCAGACGGGUGAGUAACGCGUGGGAACGUGCCCUUCAGUUUGGAAUAACCCAGGGAAACUUGGGCUAAUACCGGAUACGCCCUUCGGGGGAAAGAUUUAUCGCUGAAGGAUCGGCCCGCGUCUGAUUAGCUGGUUGGUGAGGUAAUGGCUCACCAAGGCGACGAUCAGUAGCUGGUCUGAGAGGAUGAUCAGCCACAUUGGGACUGAGACACGGCCCAAACUCCUACGGGAGGCAGCAGUGGGGAAUAUUGGACAAUGGGCGCAAGCCUGAUCCAGCCAUGCCGCGUGGGUGAUGACGGCCUUAGGGUUGUAGAGCUCUUUCGCACGCGACGAUAAUGACGGUAGCGUGAGAAGAAGCCCCGGCUAACUUCGUGCCAGCCGCCGCCGUAAAAC